rnacentral:tRNA from 2 species
AGGAAUAUAGUUUAAUAGGAUAAAAUGCAUCCAUUGAUUACGGAUGAGACUAGGGGUUCGAAUCCCCUUAUUCCUG